rnacentral:misc_RNA from 1 species
UUUCCGUAGGUGAACCUGCGGAAGGAUCAAUCCAUAUAUUAUCAUUCAUGAUGAUAUACAAACCUAAACACGCGAUGAAGCUCUCCUGUAGAGUGAAUAGCGUAGUUGGAUCUAGUCGGUUAGACUAGCCAACUGAAACCCAACAACAAUACUAGCCUUUUGAAAUAAACCAAGUAAAUAUACACAACUAUUAGUGGUGGAUCACUUGGCUCGCAGGUCGAUGAAGAACGCAGC